UGGGGAAUCUUGGACAAUGGGGGCAACCCUGAUCCAGCGACGCCGCGUGGGUGAUGAAGGCCUUCGGGUUGUAAAGCCCUUUCGACGGGGACGAUGAUGACGGUACCCGGCGAAGAAGCACCGGCUAACUCCGUGCCAGCAGCCGCGGUAAGACGGAGGGUGCUAGCGUUGUUCGGAAUCACUGGGCGUAAAGGGCGCGUAGGCGGCCAGGCAAGUCGGCUUGUGAAAGCCCGGGGCUCAACCCCGGAGGUGCGGCCGGGACUGCUUGGCUGGAGGCCGGAAGAGGAGGGUGGAAUACCCAGUGUAGAGGUGAAAUUCGUAGAUAUUGGGUGGAACACCGGUGGCGAAAGCGGCUCUCUGGUCCGGACCUGACGCUGAGGCGCGAAAGCGUGGGGAGCAAACAGG
rnacentral:rRNA from 1 species